UGGGGAAUUUUGGACGAAUUGGGGGCAACCGUGAUCCAGCAAUGCCGCGUGUGUGAAGAAGGCCUUCGGGUUGUAAAGCACUUUUGUCCGGAAAGAAAACGUCGUGGUUAAUACCCGUGGCGGCUGACGGUACCGGAAGAAUAAGCACCGGCUAACUACGUGCCAGCAGCCGCGGUAAUACGUAGGGUGCAAGCGUUAAUCGGAAUUACUGGGCGUAAAGCGUGCGCAGGCGGUCCGCUAAGACAGAUGUGAAAUCCCCGGGCUUAACCUGGGAACUGCAUUUGUGACUGGCGGGCUAGAGUAUGGCAGAGGGGGGUAGAAUUCCACGUGUAGCAGUGAAAUGCGUAGAGAUGUGGAGGAAUACCGAUGGCGAAGGCAGCCCCCUGGGCCAAUACUGACGCUCAUGCACGAAAGCGUGGGGAGCAAACAGGAUUAGAUACCCUGGUAGUCCACGCCCUAAACGAUGUCAACUAGUUGUCGGGUCUUCAUUGACUUGGUAACGUAGCUAACGCGUGAAGUUGACCGCCUGGGGAGUACGGUCGCAAGAUUAAAACUCAAA
rnacentral:rRNA from 1 species